GACGUAGGGCGCGAGCGUUGUCCGGAUUUAUUGGGCGUAAAGCGCGUGUAGGCGGGACGGCACGUCGGUCGCUGAAAUCCCCCGGCUCAACCGGGGAACGGGCGCCGAUACGACCGUCCUGGAGGGACGUAGGGGGACCUGGAACUUCCGGUGGAGCGGUGAAAUGCGUUGAGAUCGGAAGGAACGCCCGUGGCGAAAGCGAGGUCCUGGACGUUUUCUGACGCUGAGACGCGAAAGCCAGGGGAGCGAACGGG
rnacentral:rRNA from 1 species